GGGGGUGCACUGGCUUCGACGGGGGUCGCGAAAUUGCCUGGCGCAUGCCGAGGGGGUGGCUUUCCUCGUUAAUCCAGCUACAAACCUAUAGUUGCCAACGACGACAACUACGCUCUGGCCGCCUAAGGCCUAGCCCCGAAACCGCUUGUGCCCGUGCUCGCGGCGUAGGGUCAUCAUCACGGGAUCGCCGAUGACGGCUGCCUGUCAGGCAUCGGCUAACUCGAAACAGGCUGGCUUCGGGAUGCGCUUGGCGCAUCGUGCUGUCCCGGAGCGAGACCCAACGGUGCGCUAAGCAUGUAGUGCCAGGGAUGGAGUGCCUUCGGACGGCGGUUCGACUCCGCCCACCUCCACCA
rnacentral:tmRNA from 1 species